rnacentral:rRNA from 1 species
AUUGAACGCUGGCGGCAGGCCUAACACAUGCAAGUCGAGCGGGGUUUUCGGACCUAGCGGCGGACGGGUGAGUAAUGCGUAGGAAGCUACCCGAUAGAGGGGGAUACCAGUUGGAAACGACUGUUAAUACCCGCAUAAUGUCUACGGACCAAAGUGUGGGACCUUCGGGCCACAUGCUAUCGGAUGCGCCUACGUGGGAUUAGCUAGUUGGUGAGGUAAUGGCUCACCAAGGCGACGAUCUCUAGCUGGUUUGAGAGGAUGAUCAGCCACACUGGAACUGAGACACGGUCCAGACUCCUACGGGAGGCAGCAGUGGGGAAUAUUGGACAAUGGGCGCAAGCCUGAUCCAGCCAUGCCGCGUGUGUGAAGAAGGCCUUC